ensembl:lncRNA
GCACCUCGCCAGCACAGCGCCGUGGCCCUUAAAGGGACUGAGCGCCAGCGGCUGCCCGCGUUGCUCUGCCAGCCGGGCGUUUUGGUGUGUGCAGGUACUGCGCAAAUAUGUACAAUUUUAUCAUAUAUAAUAAAAGCUCCGGCAAGAAUAUUGUCAACGUGUUGGGUUUAUCCAGAACCUGGUGUGUCCUGCUGUGGUAAUGGGGUACUCUUCACUACUAAUCUCAGCUGAACGAGUGAUGUGUGUGUUACCAAAACUGCAGCAGGUUGGGUAAGGAGCUGCUGUGAAGGCACACGAACAGCACGAGAUUCCUGCAGGGAUUGUCAGUCAGCUAAUUGAUGAGCGUGUCCUAUUUGCUUCUGGAUCGCUAAAAUGCUGCAUCAGGCUGUAAGAGGUACAGGAUUGCAUGAUCUGUGCUGUCUCCUGUGAAACCCGAGUGGUAGAAACACCCAAAAUCGAGUCCCGUCUCCUCCUUUUCAAAAGGAACGUGAUCCUCUGCAGAAUCUUCUCUCAGCUUCCCUGAUGCAGCUCAUCUCUCCAGAAGUGACUGCCUGGUGCUGGCUCUGUUCUUCAGCGUAAAUCUUCUUCAGUGCUCUCCUUUCAGCUUUGAAAUGCACAUCACCCUCAGCUAGGUUUGUGCUAGCAAGCAGUGUGGUGCAACAGGAGCGAGUCUACGACGUUACAGUGUGGGGGCUGGAAAUCCAACACCCACCCCAGUUACGUUUGUGGAGCUUUACUUUGGAUUACACCUUGGUCCUGUGGCCCACUGGUGGCUGAAAUGCCCCAAGGAUGCCUGAUAUACAGCCAUCUGCCAGCCUGGCUCCACUAGGAGGAAAUCCAGCCUGCAUGCACACCAAACUGCUCUGCAACACCGACUGAAGCACAGCAAGUGAGAACUGCUGGAGGAAUCACUUUGAAAGCACGCUUCAGAAACCAACUCAAACACAGCUGUGGAAACACCCUACAUCUGUCAGGUAGCUGCAAUAAGCUGGCAGCACUUUAAGGCAUUUACAUAUCCACUCUUAAAUCCGAAGACGUGGGCUACACACACUGGCGUGCAGGAAAAUGGUACCACAGGGAAAUGAAAGGCUGGACCUCUCUUUCAAAUGUGAAAAUGGGAAAUAGAACGUUGUGUUUUGUGUCACCAUUGUGUUAUUCUAUAGUGGGUAAUAUAUCUUUGUUGUAAGGGGUGGGAUUUUUGAAGAAAUCUUCUUUAGGAUGUGUAUCGAAACCCUGCAGAACGGGGCAAUGGCAGAAGGGACAGGGGACCCUCCCACUGGAAGACCCUGUUUGUCAGAGUAUCAUUGUGCCAGUUGUAAAGGGUUUGGGCAUUAACAAAAAGAGUGCUCACAGGCUAAGGCUGUGGCUCCAGCCGAAGAAAUGUCAUGCCCCUCCCCCUCAGCAACGAGGGAGCCAAGGGAGUCAUUCCCAACUGAGCCCUGCUAUACGGUAUGGCUGGAGGAUGAGGAUGACCAAACUGAAGCAGACUCUACCCUUGGACUUCGUGGUGCACAAUAUUCAGCCUGGAGAUUGGAUCCUGGUAAAAGACUGGACAAAGAGGGAUGGAA